UACCUGCGUUGACUUAGUUACACUAGGU
rnacentral:sRNA from 1 species